rnacentral:ncRNA from 2 species
AGAGAAAACGUUGCAUGUGGUACUUCCCCGGUAGUUUGCCGGUGAGGUGAAAAGGGAAUCCGGUGUGAAUCCGGAACUGACGCGCAGCGGUUACCAGGAACGAAAGUCAUCAUAAUGCACUGGGCAAGGCCCGGGAAGCGAUGGCGAGUAGGGGAAUGUGCGAUGCCUGGGAGUCCGAAGACCUGCCACAUUGCUGCGACCGAC